rnacentral:rRNA from 1 species
UGGGGAAUAUUGCACAAUGGGCGAAAGCCUGAUGCAGCGACGCCGCGUGAGGGAUGACGGCCUUCGGGUUGUAAACCUCUUUCAGUAGGGACGAAGCGCAAGUGACGGUACCUGCAGAAGAAGCACCGGCUAACUACGUGCCAGCAGCCGCGGUAAUACGUAGGGUGCGAGCGUUGUCCGGAAUUACUGGGCGUAAAGAGCUCGUAGGCGGUUUGUACCGUCGUCUGUGAAAUCCUAGGGCUUAACCCUGGACGUGCAGGCGAUACGGGCUGACUUGAGUACUACAGGGGAGACUGGAAUUUCUGGUGUAGCGGUGGAAUGCACAGAUAUCAGGAAGAACACCGAUGGCGAAGGCAGGUCUCUGGGUAGUAACUGACGCUGAGGAGCGAAAGCAUGGGUAGCGAACAGG